AUUGCACGCUGGCGGCAGGCCUAACACAUGCAAGUCGAGCGAGCGGCGGACGGGUGAGUAAUGUAUGGGGACUGCCCGAUAGAGGGGGAUAACUACUGGAAACGGUAGCUAAUACCGCAUACUAUCCGAUAACCCAUAUGGGAUUAGCUAGUAGGUGGGGUAAAGGCUCACCUAGGCGACGAUCCCUAGCUGGUCUGAGAUGAUGCUCAGCCACACUGGAACUGAGACACGGCCCAGACUCCUACGGAGGCAGCAGUGGGUAAUAUUGCACAAUGGGCGCAAGCCUGAGGCAGCCAUGCCGCUUGUAUGAAGAAGGCCUUAGGGGUGUAAAGUACUUUCAGCGGUGAGGCGUUACCUGCAGAAGAAGCACCGGCUAACUCCGUGCCAGCAGCCGCGGUAAUUC
rnacentral:rRNA from 1 species